UCCUUGAAAAAGGAUUCGUAACCAAAUCGACUAUGAUGUCUCCGUUUACUCACAUUUUUUUUUAUAUUUUAGUGUAAAAUAAAAUUCUAAAUAAUUAGAUGUUGUAAAGGUAUUUGUAUUUAUCAAUGUAUAUUUAUAAGCAAUAUCAUGUGAAAUCCAGCUAUCCUCCUAACUGCAGUGUCUUGGAUAAAAGCUAAAUAAACAAAUAAUAAAAAGGAAUAUUCAUG